rnacentral:rRNA from 1 species
AGGAUGAACGCUGGCGGCGUGCCUAAUACAUGCAAGUCGAGCGGUAAGGCCACUUCGGUGGUACACGAGCGGCGGACGGCUGAGUAACACGUAGGAACGUACCCCAAAGUGAGGCAUAAGCACCAGAAAUGGUGUCUAAUACCGCAUGUGAUCUUCGGAUUAAAGCUUCGGCGCUUUGGGAACGGCCUGCGCAUGAUUAGCUUGUUGGUGAGGUAAUAGCUCACCAAGGCGACGAUCAUUAGCUGGUCUGAGAGGAUGACCAGCCAGACUGGGACUGAGAACCGGCCCAGACUCCUACGGGAGGCAGCAGGUAGGGUAAUUUUCCACAAUGGGACG